CUAAGCAGGUUAGGAGAAGGGUUAGCUAAAAGGGUUAGGGGAAGUGUUAGCUAAAAGGGUUAGGGGAAGGGUUAGCUAAGCAGGUUAGGGGAAGGGUUAGCUAAAAGGGUUAGCAAAAAGGGUUAGGGGAGGGUUAGCUUAACGGGUUAGGGGAAUGGUUAGCUAACUUGAUAAGUUUUCUGUGAUGAGAUUCAAACACGCAACCUUGGGGUUGCUAGACGUUCAUGCUAUAUGCCCACUCAUCCACCCCGACCAACCGCCCUACUUUAGUUUUUGCCUUAAGAAACCUGUUUUAUGUAACCAUUAUAGAGGAAAUGAUUGAAUUAACUACCAUGUUGUUUAAUUUAACAUACUAUGCUGUUUUUACUUGGAGAAUUAUCCGGGUCUGGGCGUACAGAUAAGAGACGUUUGGGUGCAACUGCAGUAUGUGAGAUCCUGUUUUAACAAUCUACAGGAACUUUGAUGUGUGAAAACUAUAAGGGAAAUGUUACGUAUUUACCUGCUUUGUUGAAUAUUGAUUGUUGAAUUAUAUGCUUAACAAUAGUAAGAGAUUUUCAUAACUACAAAUGCUGUGCUUCUGUAAAGGGAUGGUUCCCCUCUAGCUCCCUGCAGCUGGUCUGUUGGUAUAGUCAAGGACAUGGUGUGAGCCGAGAUCGAGAUAGCCUGAGAAAUAGAACAAACCCCUAUUUGUUUCUAAUCAUCUAUGCUUCUGAGAAACUAAGCCAGGGUACGGGGAAACAACACCCGGUGAACAUAACCACAAGAUGAACCCAAGGUAGCUUAUGAUGCCUCGAUCUGCAUGGGAGGGGUGGAACCAGCCAUGACUAAGCAUUUCUAGGUCUGCUAUAUAGAACCUCUGUUUCUUCUGUACCGUUGAGCUCUCUGUCUUACACUCAAGAGUGUGGGGUCGACCAGCUUCAUUAUUGCAAUUCUUAUUAAAUAAAGAUGAUCGUUUGAAGAAAUGAGUCUCUCUUGGUUAGAAUGUCCUGCUUAACAUUCAGGUAACACACAGACACAGAAACACACACACAGACACGCACACAAACACACCGACACAUGCACAUACACUUGCGCACACACAAACAAACACACACACACACUACUCAGCUGUUCACAUUUGUCUUGAUUGACAUGUUUUUCAGUUAGUUUGUUGUUGUUGUUGAUGUUAAACAGGUCCUUCAGUUUAUAGUGACUGUGUAUCUAUAGGGGGGGUUGUAUUAUUUUUACCAUAUCCAAUGUGUUAUAUUCUCCUACAUUCAUUUCACUUUUCCACAAAUUUCCCAGUGUUUCCUUUCAAAUGGUAUCAUGAAUAUGCAUAUCUUUGCUUCAGGUCCUGAGCUACAGGCAGUUAGAUUUGGGUAUGUCAAUUUAGGCGAAAAUUGAAAAAAAAGGGUACGAUCCUUAAGAGUGCUGCCUUUAAAUAUUUAAUUGAGUUUGAUAGUGCUGUCAUUGUGUAAUGCCUGACAUUGGUGAUAAGUGAUUGAUUGUCUGUAAAUUAGGAUUUCUUGAUUCUUCACAAUGGCACCCUCCUCUGGUUAUCUUGAGUGACACAGGUGAGUUUUAUACAUACAGAGUAGCAUUCUGUUUGUGAGAUGUGGCGUAAGUGAUGUUAUGGGUAUAGGCCUAUGAAAUGCUUUGAUUAAGCUCCAUUAUGUGUCUUUCAUAUUUGAGUG
ensembl:lncRNA